UUGAAACCUUUCUAUGUUAUGCUAUUUGACAAGUAUUUUAUUGGGGUUUUAGGUAACAAAAAGUAAUGUUAUUGUGAGGUGGAUGAUUUCUAAAUAUUUUUAAACGUUAAAAAAACUGAAAAGUGUGGUAUGCAUUUAAAUAAACAAAAAAUUAUUGCCUUUAAAGUUACCUUUGAUUAGCAAACAAACAAAUCUGUUGAGAAACCAAAACCUGGCAUCUCUAGAAGAUCCUCAAGGAGGAAAGUCUUUUUCAUUUGCAGUUCAUCUGAAAGCGUUUCUUUAGAUGACAUGUCAGGGAGGCAUGCUGAAGAAGGUGCUUCUUCCCAUCCAGAAACAUGGCGGCGCCAUCGUGCAUCUUGACGCUGCUGUUGCCACCGUGUUCGAUCUACAAUUAGGAUCAAAUCCUAUUUGUGUUCGGAAGGUCCAGAUUGAAUCCAACUGAGAAUCUGUGGUGAAACGUAAAACAUUGAUGCUCACAAAACCCUUCCAUCCAAUCUGACUGAGCUGGAGUUAUUUUUGCACAGCAUGGGCGCCAAUUUCAGUCUCUGGAAACCGACAACCACAGGACCGGCAGCUGCAGCCCGCGGCGAAAGAUGAUUCUACACAGUACCGACUCAGAUGAUGUCUCUCCCCGUAUGAGGUCAGAGGUGUGCACUCAGACGACAGAGCGCUCUCCAUUUGUCACCUUUUCUGGCCUUUAUGCAGCGCAGCUGGCCUCCGGCCUCACCCACACGCUGUUUUCUGUUGUUUUUCAUAUGCAAAGUGUUAAUUAUAUGCUUGUGCAAUGACAGGAUUGUGUGCAGGAUUUCCUACACGUGUCCGUGCAUUUGUACACUUCUUUUGUCACUUUUAUUUCAGGAUUAAACUAUAAUUGUACGAUAGAGAUUUAUAUUACUGGUUUUUGUUGGACGUCAGACUGAAAUCAGAAAUUAAAUAAGCAGGAGGAAAAA